rnacentral:rRNA from 1 species
UGGGGAAUAUUGCACAAUGGGCGCAAGCCUGAUGCAGCAACGCCGCGUGAGGGAUGACGGCCUUCGGGUUGUAAACCUCUUUUAGCAGGGAAGAAGCGAAAGUGACGGUACCUGCAGAAAAAGCGCCGGCUAACUACGUGCCAGCAGCCGCGGUAAUACGUAGGGCGCAAGCGUUAUCCGGAAUUAUUGGGCGUAAAGAGCUCGUAGGCGGUUUGUCGCGUCUGCUGUGAAAUCCCGAGGCUCAACCUCGGGUCUGCAGUGGGUACGGGCAGACUAGAGUGCGGUAGGGGAGAUUGGAAUUCCUGGUGUAGCGGUGGAAUGCGCAGAUAUCAGGGGGAACACCGAUGGCGAAGGCAGAUCUCUGGGCCGUAACUGACGCUGAGGAGCGAAAAGGGUGGGGAGCAAAACAGGCUUAGAUACCCUGGUAGUCCACCCCGUAAACGUUGGGAACUAGUUGUGGGGUCCAUUCCACGGAUUCCGUGACGCAGCUAACGCAUUAAGUUCCCCGCCUGGGGAGUACGGCCGCAAGGCU